UUCUAUUAAGAGUUUGAUCCUGGCUCAGGAUGAACGCUGGCGGCGUGGAUAAGGCAUGCAAGUCGAACGAGCUUUUGACCGCAAGGUUGAAAGCGAGUGGCGAACGAGUUAGUAAUGCGUAGAUACAUACAAUUAACUUGGGCAUAACUAGCCGAAAGGUUAGCUAAUUCUCGAUGGUCUCAUAAUUUAUUUUAUGAGUAAAGGAGGUUGGAUCUCAGAGUUCGGAUUUCGGACAUUAAGCGUCUGACAUCUGAUAUCUGAGAUCUGACCUCUGGUUAAUGAAUGGUCUGCGUCCUAUCAGCUUGUUGGUGAGGUAAUGGCUCACCAAGGCGAUGACGGGUAGGGGGCGUGAGAGCGCGACCCCCAACGAUGGCACUGCGAUACGGGCCAUACUCCUACGGGAGGCUGCAGUCGAGAAUCUUUCGCAAUGGGGGAAACCCUGACGAAGCGACGCCGCGUGCAGGAAGAAGCUUUUCGGAGUGUAAACUGCUUUUAUAGGGAAACAAAUCGUGCUUCACUAUUGUUCAGCAUCUUAAUUUUCUAAUUCUUAAUUUCUAAUUUCUAAACAAUUUCUAUUGAACUAAUUCUUAAUUUCUAAAUGUAAUUCGCGCACUAAAAAUUAAAAAAUUAUAACAUUGAGAUUGAUUAAAAAUUGAAAAUUAAGAAUUAGAAAUUUGAGUGGCGAGUGAUAGCGAGGCACGAUUGAGGGUACCCUAGGAAUAAGGGGUCACAAAACUCGUGCCAGCAGUGGCGGUAAUACGAGUGCCCCGAGCGUUGUCCGGAAUUACUGGGCGUAAAGGGUCUGUAGGGGGCUUUAAUAGUCGGGUGUCAAAGACCGGGGCCUAACUCCGGGAAUGCAUCCGAAACGUUAAGGCUAGAGCUUAUCAGAGGUCUGAAGAACUCACGGUGUAGGGGUGAAAUCCGUUGAUAUCGUGGGGAAUACCAAAGGCGAAGGCAUCAGACUGGGAUAGAGCUGACCCUGAAAGACGAAAGCGUGGGGAGCGAAUGGGAUUAGAUACCCCAGUAGUCCACGCCCUAAACGAUGAUGACUAGGCAUUCGGAGCAUCGACCCUUUGGGUGCCGAAGCUAACGCGUUAAGUCAUCCGCCUGGGAAGUACGGCCGCAAGGCUAAAACUCAAAGGAAUAGACGGGGGCUCGCACAAGCGGUGGAGCGUCUGGUUUAAUUCGACGAUAAACGAGAAACCUUACCGAGGAUUGACAUUGCUAUGAAAGUCCGUGGAAACAUGGACCCUCCUCAAGGACAUAGCAACAGGUGCUGCAUGGUUGUCGUCAGUUUGUGCCGUGAGGUGCUCCCUUAAUUGGGGAAACAAGCGCAACCCCUAGACUACGUUAUAUGUGUCGUAGUCGACUGCCCGCGUACAGUGGGAGGAAGGCGGGGAUGACGUCAAAUCAGCAUGGCCUUUUGAUGCCUCGGGCGACACAGGCGCUACAAUGGCCGGUACAAUGGGUUGCUAAGCCGUAAGGUGGAGCUAAUCCCAUCAAAACCGGUCUCAGUUCGGACUGGGGUCUGCAAUUCGACCCCACGAAGCUGGAAUCGCUAGUAAUCGCGGAUCAUCACGCCGCGGUGAAUACGUUCUCGAGCCUUGUACUCACCGCCCGUCACGUCAGUGAAGCCGGGGGUGCCCGAAAUCUCUCUUUAUGGGGGCCUAAGGCAAAUUCGGUAACAAGGACGAAGUCGUAACAAGGCAUCGGUAGCGGAAGCUGUCGAUGGAUCACCUCCUUUCUA
rnacentral:rRNA from 1 species